rnacentral:rRNA from 1 species
CCUACGGGAGGCUGCAGUGGGGAAUAUUGCGCAAUGGGCGCAAGCCUGACCCAGCAACGCCGCGUGAAGGAAGAAGGCUUUCGGGUUGUAAACUUCUUUCCUCAGGGACGAAGAAAGUGACGGUAACUGCGGAAUAAGCCACGGCUAACUACGUGACAGCAGCCGCGGUAAUACGUAGGGGGCAAGCGUUAUCCGGAUUUACUGGGCGUAAAGGGCGAGUAGGCGGGUCUGCAAGUCAGAUGUGAAAACCACGGGCUCAACCUGGGACCUGCAUUUGAAACUGUAGUGCUUGAGUACUGGAGAGGCAGACGGAAUUCCUGGUGUAGCGGUGAAAUGCGUAGAUAUUAGGAGGAACACCAGUGGCGAAGGCGGUCUGCUGGACAGAAACUGACGCUGAGGUGCGAAAGCGUGGGGAGCAAACAGGAUUAGAUACCCCGGUAGUC